rnacentral:lncRNA from 1 species
GAGUAAAAGAAAACUCCAAAGUCAAGCUGGGAGCAUUCUGUCCUUACACAAGCCCCACGCUAAAACUUCUGCAAUUGCUACUGUGAGAAAUGAAACCAAGUCUCUUCUAACACAGCUCAUCUUCUGUGCAGAGGUAGAGCCUCCUGAGGAAACAACUGGACUAAACUGUCUCUUGCUGCUGUCAGCGGUGUGGGAUCAGACGUGGGCAAUGUGAACUGGUGCUCCUGGCAGAAAGAGACCUGUCUUAUUUCCCUUUAAAAUCAAGAUGUCACAACAAACAGAAAGCCUGGGGGAGGAGCGGAAUGCCAAAUGCAGUGAAUGUGACAGAUUUGGUACAAGCUCCCUUCAGUCAUUUUGGAAUUAAACUCCUUUUUAACCUAGGAGCAAACAAGAAGGAGUAAACAUCAUGCUCUUCUGCAGCACAGCAGAGCCCCAAGUGCUCUUUUUGGACAGAAAGCCAGAGGAAAGCUGAAUGUGUUUUCUCUAAAGCAUCUGCAUUGCCAGCACUGGAAAAUGCUCAGGAUUUCUAAAAGCUGCUACUGCAGAUAGUUUGACCAAAGCUGGCACUUGAAAGACAAAUCACCCAGAAUCAAAGAGACACAGUCCUGAACGUUCCAACUGGCUUAUCCCAGGAAGCUGAUGGAUAAAAUGAGCAUCAGAGUGUAAGUAGUAAAAGAAAGGAGAACCUGAGUUUUUAACAACGACUUUGCAUGGGGGCUGCAUGACACACCCUCAAAACAGGGAUUAGGCAGAGUUCAAGAAAUCCGUGAACAUGAUACUGUAUGUCUGCACAACUGCAAAUUUUACCCUAAUUAGUCUGGCAGUUACAGAGUAGACAGUGUCCUGCCUAGGCGAAAAUGUUCAAGUGCUGCAGUAAUUCAGAAUUUCAUAUGCGCUGACAAUUUUGCAUGCUUAUCAACUCUGUUUAAAGCCAGGAAACAAAGCAGUACACGUUGAUAAGUGAAAUGAUCUGAUUUCCCAUGUGUGACCCACUGUGCAGCUUUUGUAGAAGUUUAGUCAUACAUAAAUGGAUUUAAUGGAUGCUGCCAAUGUAUUGACAACCUGCUUAUAUGAGUGUUCCAUCAGCUACAGCUGUACAAGUGCUUUCACCUCCCCACUGUAUUCCUAGAAAAAGUAUACACAUAUAUAUCAACAAGCAUGAAUUAUGCAUAAAGGUCUAUCAUUAGGCCAUACCUGAACUUAGUAGGAAAAACUAACUCAAGCAAACAUUCAAAAAUAAAAUGUAAAUUCAUAAGAACUGUAAGGGCUACCUCACUGUUGCAUUUCUAUAGCAUUCAAAUCAUCUUUUCUUCCCAUCGUAUUCAAUAUUGAGUCUGUCUUUUCCCUUCUCCAAUUUUUGUGUGAUCUCCUGUGACAUCUAAGUAGCUCCACACCUCCUCUUAUAUAU